rnacentral:lncRNA from 1 species
CUCCCCUCCGUGCCGCUGCCUCGGAUUCCCCCCUCCCUCUCGGCCGCAAGCGCCGGCGCCGACAUGGUAUGGAAGCGGCUGCCACGUAUUCUCACCCCACGUUCCCGAUCUGGAGAGGGAGGGAAAUACACGGCCACAUGUGCGUGCGCCGUCGGGAUGUUUCUUGAGGGUAGCAUCAACCCUUGUAGGCACUGCUAGCAGCAGCAGCAGGCCUCAGUGCCGACGAAGGGAUGGCACAUGGCGCCGUCGUCGUCGAUCUAGGUAGAAGGGCAAGCCAAGAUGAACCUCUCGCAUUAUCUAGGAAGUUGUCAUGGAAGACGCCGAAGAAAAGUCCAUGUAAGCUCCUCUGGUUUUCUUCCAUAAUUUUUCUUCCCUGCACAACAGUUAAUUUCCGUCUCUUCUGGACCACGUCUAAUUUUGGGAAAAAGAUGCAGGAAUUUUGAUAGAGAUGGAGAACUGGACGUGCUUUGUUUCCUUGCCUUGACCGCAUCUAAUUUUGGGGAAAAGAGAGAGGAAUUUGAGAUAGGUGGACAACCUGAAGAUCUUUGAACGUUCAGGAGCAGCCAUAUCCUCAGUGCUAUGCCAGCCUCCUCGCCACUACUGUCAUGUGGAUGUGACUAUUGUUUGGCUGCUGGUGAGAUGGGCAUAGUUUCCUCCGGGUUCAUGCAUCGUGAUGGUAUUCGAACAACACCUUAAUUGGCCCAAGAAAAUUUAGGACUGUCGGAUGAUAAACCAAAUUUUUUGUUUCAUGUACUAUCAUCUCACGUUCUAAUUUUGGUGUUCUGGUAGGAAGGGAUCGGCUUUGGCGGUGUCCGGUGCUGGCAUGUCAUGUGAUUAGAGCAUAGGAAGCUAACAUGAUGUUUGGAACUCGGUGGUCAUGCUCAUUGACUAGAUGCUGCGCCUCAUGUCACCCCGGGCGUCGAAUUGCUUGAUAGCAGAGCUCACGGAGUAAAAAUAUGUCUGCAAGUACUUGUUUGCCAUAUGCCUGCCCACUCCUCCGUCUCAUCAAGCUUUCUUUUAUUUCUCUAAAUUUGUUGUGUGCAUGUAUGUGAAAAAAUAACAGGAAUAGGCCAUGCUAAGGCUUUGGCAAAGAACAUUCUUUCCCUUGCUUAUGAAAAUUUUGGUCCUUUAAUAUUGAUUCCAUAAUUUGUGAUUAAUAAAUGUUGUUGGUAUUUGAUCUCUUUGUUGCUCAUGUCCUACUUGAUUUUGCAUGGGUACAG